GCCAGCAUGGCACAAUGGUUUGAGUGUUGGACUAUGACUCCGGAGACCCGGGUUCGAUUCCCUGUUCUGCCA